AUUGCUUAAUCGUUCUCAU
rnacentral:siRNA from 1 species